ensembl:miRNA mir-789.1 ncRNA
UGUCCUGAAGGCAGGCAAUUGAUGACCCAGACAAGGACUAAUCAAGAUUGUCGAUCUAGUCCCUGCCUGGGUCACCAAUUGUCGGCCCCCGCGGGCA